rnacentral:lncRNA from 1 species
AGAUUAACCUUUUCGGUGACGCGGGGAGCCAUAUUGAAACCUGGAAACGAUGAGGCUGCACGGCUCACCGUCUUGGAUAAUGGCAAAGAUGGCCUGCAAGUGCGUGACUCUCGUUAUGGAAAUCUCUGUCCUGGAGAGGUGCUUACGAAAAGCGCCAUCUUACUCUAGGCAGGUGCCUGGAGUGUCCUACGAGGACGAGGACCAUAUUGAAUCGUGACGGAUUUUCUUACAGGAGUCACUUCCUAACUGUAGUCUCCUGGCAGAAAAGAGGCAACCUCCAGCCGGUAGUCCCAGACGAGGUACCUGCAGAGAAUGAUGUAUGAUCUGGUCAUAGACACCGUGGAUUUCAACUCUCCAGAGUCUAAACGCUGAAAACACCCAACUUGAUUUAGUGCCUUACACUCUUUAUCUCCGAUUUUUCAGGACGACACCUGUUAAAAUGUUUUGCCACACUUUCGGCGUGUAUUCCGAUUAUCUUUUUGGAAAAUUUGAUCCUGUUAAAUAGACUAUACGUGGGAUCAACCCAAUUCCUGAUAAAAUCGGAAGCAUAAUGAACUAUCUAAUGGCCUAUAUUAGCUCCCAGUUCUAUUAUAAUGAUAAAUGCUACCGAACUCUCACCAUAAAUAUGCUUUUUCUGCGCCCCAAAGGUAAACUUAACCACAACACCCUGACAGUACAGAUAGCAAGUGGCAAAACUGAGACAGAAACUCAAGCCUGCCUCAUUACAACAGCAGCAGUCUUCACCGCUGCUGGAGCUGGCAAGGUCACCAAGUCUGCCCAGAAAGCUCAGAAGGCUAGAUGAAUAUCAUCCCUAAUACCUGCCACCCCACUCUUAAUCAGUGGUGGAAGAACGGUCUCAGAACUGUUUGUUUCAACUGGCCAUUUAAGUUCAGUAGUAAAAGACUGGUUAAUGAAAACAAUGCAUCGUAAAACCUUCAGAAGGAAAGGAGAAUGUUUUGUGGACCACUGGUUUUCUUCUUCAGAAGGAAAGGAGAAUGUUUUGUGGACCACUGGUUUUCUUUUUUGCGUGUGGCAGUUUUAAGUUAUUAGUUUUUUAAAUCAGUACUUUUUAAUGGAAACAUCCAAAAAUUUGUCACAGAAUUUUGAGACCCAUUAAAAAAGUUUAAUGAGAAAAAAAAAAAAAGCAAACCUGCCUCUAAUUUGUCUGCUCCACCUUGGAAAGUGAUAUCUUAAAUUUCAAAAAGAAUUACCACAUUUAUCCCUGGCGAGGACGUGAGGAACAGUCUAAUCUCAUACACUGUUGGCAGGAAUGUAAAUUGGCACGGCAUUUUUAAAAGGGAAAUUAACAGAAUUUAUCAAAAUAUUAAUUGGACGUAAUCUUCAAUUUAGCAGUUUCACUAAUAAAUAUUGUAGAGAAAUCCUUAUAUGCACAAAAAAGUAUGUACAAUAAUACUACAGCAUUGUUUGUAAUAGUGAAAAAAAUGGAAACAAAAUGACCAUCUAUCAAUGGGAAAUGGUUAAUGGUAUAUCUAUUACUAUGAGAUGUUUUGAACUAAAGGGUUAGCCAUUGAAAGAGAUCCAAGAUUUUUUAAAGCCAACUGCAAAAAACAUACAGCAUUAUCAACUUUUGUCGAAACACCCCAAAAUUAUAUAUGCAUGCAUGUAAAUGCAUUGAGAAGGCUUUCAAAGGAUAUAAGGCUAAGUGGGGGAAAGAAACUUAUUUUCUCCUCCAUAUAUUUCUCUGUUGUUUAAGAUUUAUAUAGCUAUUAUUGUCACUGAAUACAUGUUAAAAGAAAAAUAAAGACAGAAAAGUGGUUUAUUA